AGUUGGGUCCUAUGCAAUUAACUUUGGCGAAUCCCGUCAGGACUGGAAAGUAGCAGCGGUAGUUGAAAGUUUUUGUGCCGUAGGGUGCCUGACUGUU
rnacentral:SRP_RNA from 1 species